CAGGAGGGAGUCUACAUCAGUCUGCCAGGAGAGCAGCUCAAUGGGAAGGAGAAGGCCUGCAGAGAUAUGACUCUUUUUCCAAGACCUGAACUGAACUGUGUGAAUGGCGUUGUAUUAUCUUGAAUGUCACAUCAUAAAUGGUUUCUAAUUAGGGACCUCCCUGAACACAAUAAAGAGAGAGGAAGCACAGGGUGUUUUCAGAGCAGUAAGGAGUUGUAACUGAGCACAUCUCUGCUGUUCUCCUCUCAAAUAAAACCAAA